CAAAGGGGUGCCCGACAAAACAGGCUGAGAUUAUACCCUGCGAACCUGAUGCGGUUAGUACCGACGAAGGGAUUGUUG
rnacentral:ncRNA from 1 species